rnacentral:rRNA from 1 species
UCGCAUCUGUGCAUGCAGCAUAUCAAUAAGCGGAGGAAAAGAAACUAACAAGGAUUCCCCUAGUAACGGCGAGUGAAGCGGGAAGAGCUCAAAUUUGAAAUCUUAAAGGGUUUCCCUUUACGAAUUGUAGUUUAAAGAAGUGUUUUCUGUUGAGGUUUUGGUAAAAGUUCUUUGGAAUAGGACAUCAUAGAGGGUGAGAAUCCCGUAUUUGACCUUUACUUUCAACUUUGUGAUACACUUUCAAAGAGUCGGAUUGUUUGGGAAUGCAGUCCAAAAUGGGUGGUAAAUUUCAUCUAAAGCUAAAUAUUGGCGAGAGACCGAUAGCGAACAAGUACCGUGAGGGAAAGAUGAAAAGAACUUUGAAAAGAGAGUUAAACAGUACGUGAAAUUGUCAAAAGGGAAGCGUUUGACACCAGUGUUGUUUUUCUGAAAAUCAAUUAAAGAACUGUUUAUGCUAAGCUGUUUAGACUUUAUCAGCUAAUCUGUUUAGUUUUGAGCUUUUCUUUAAUGCACUUUUCAGUUAACAAGUCAACAUCAAUUUCUUUUGCUGUAAAAAAGCUUGAGGAAGGUGGCUUGAGAUUCGUCUUAAGUGUUUAUAGCCUCUUGCCUAUGCAGUCGGAGAGAUUGAGGUCUGCAGCGUAGAUCCUUCGGGGCUAAAUGCAUUUGUGCUAAGUUAUAGCAUUUUAUAGGACAACUUGUUGACUAUGAUUUGUCUUGUAGCUCACUCGCUUAUGUUAUUUUACCUACGCUUAGGAUGUUGACAGCAGUAUAGACUGU